rnacentral:misc_RNA from 1 species
CAUUUGUCAAAAGAGUAACGUCGUACGAGCUCAUUUUAAUUCUUAAAGAAACAAGAAACAUGUCAUCUGGAAUUGACGUCAACUCCAAAGUUUUAGAAGCUUAUAAUGCUUUGCAACUACAACAUAACUAUAAGUACGUCAUUUUCAAACUUUCUGAUGAUUUGAAACAAAUUGAAGUGGAAACGACAAAAAAGAAUUACGAUGGCUUCGCAUGGAAGGAUUUUACUGACCAACUUCCACCUUGCGAUGUACGCUAUGCUGUAGUCGACUUCCAUUUUAAUAAGAAGUCUGAUGGAGCGAAACAAGAAAAAGUCAUAUUCGUUCACUGGGCACCUGAUAAUGCACCAAUCAAGCGAAAGAUGUUAAUAGCGUCAUCGAAGGAUGCUCUUAAGAGAAAAUUGGAGGGUUUAUCCUUGGAGGUUCAAGCUAAUGAUAUGUCGGAUUUAUUGGAAGAAGAAAUCAUUGCAAAGUUGGAUAGAACUUAAUUUACUACCUAAUUUAACAGGUAUAUCUGAACUACUGUCCGGUUUGAUGUUCUGUUUUUUUUCAUAAGUUCGGAUGUAAUUUUUUCCUCCGUAGUAAAUAAAAACUAAAGUGUCGACACAAAUUUUUGUUUCAAAUGUAGAGCGAUUAAAGUAACUAUGCAUUUUUGCGUUGCUUGAAUAAAUUUAUUUUCAACACUUACGACGUCAAACAAAUUGAAGAUUCACUCUUUUCCAACGACACCACAUGAAUAUCAUCGAAAUAUGCAGAACCUUGAAUCUGUAAUUCUAGACUUACCAUUUUCGAAUCUGUUUCGAAAUGAAUACUUCGUUUAUGCCACUUUUUCUGGGACGAAUCAAAACUUGUGGUCACAAUAUGUUCUUCACUUGCAGUUUUUGCCUGAUACGUAAUAAUUUAGAUUAUUCAUAAGAAUGAAAUUUACAAUUAUUAUGAAGCACGAUUAUUACAAAAAAAGUUGACUAAUUUGUAUCUAUUGAACUUUUGUUUAUUAAAACUACUAACCACAGCUGUCAUUCCAUAAUUGACCUCUUACAACUGCUUACGCCUGAUCUUCUCUUUUCUUCAGUCCUAUUAAGAGAUGAGUUCGUGCCUACUGUUUGCCAGCCAGUCAGGCCGUUAAAUUCACAGUCACGAUUGUUGAAGGAAAGAACUUGUUUCUUGCACUGAGCACUUAAAUAGCUAUCCGUUACAACUGUGAAUAUAUUUCAUUCUUAAAAUAAAACCGCCUAACCUAAAUGGAAACU